rnacentral:snRNA from 1 species
GUCCCUUCAGGGACAUCCGAUAAAUUUGGAACGAUACAUAGAAAAUUUUCAUGACCCCUGCGCAAGGAUAACACGUGCAAAUAAAAAAAAUGGUCCAAAUUUUG